UACUAUAGCUUGACACUGAACAUUGAGCCUUGAUGUGUAGGAUAGGUGGGAGGCUUGGAAGUGUGGACGCCAGUCUGCAUGGAGCCGACCUUGAAAUACCACCCUUUAAUGUUUGAUGUUCUAACGUUGACCCGUAAUCCGGGUUGCGGACAGUGUCUGGUGGGUAGUUUGACUGGGGCGGUCUCCUCCUAAAGAGUAACGGAGGAGCACGAAGGUUGGCUAAUCCUGGUCGGACAUCAGGAGGUUAGUGCAAUGGCAUAAGC
rnacentral:rRNA from 1 species